AGAGUUUGAUCCUGGCUCAGAAUGAACGCUGGCGGCAGGCCUAACACAUGCAAGUCGAACGGAUCCUUCGGGAUUAGUGGCGGACGGGUGAGUAACGCGUGGGAACAUACCCUUUGGUACGGAAUAGCCUCGGGAAACUGGGAGUAAUACCGUAUGUGGUCGAGAGACGAAAGAUUUAUCGCCAAAGGAUUGGCCCGCGUUGGAUUAGGUAGUUGGUGGGUAAUGGCCUACCAAGCCGACGAUCCAUAGCUGGUUUGAGAGGAUGAUCAGCCACACUGGGACUGAGACACGGCCCAGACUCCUACGGGAGGCAGCAGUGGGGAAUCUUAGACAAUGGGGGAAACCCUGAUCUAGCCAUGCCGCGUGAUCGAUGAAGGCCUUAGGGUUGUAAAGAUCUUUCAGGUGGGAAGAUAAUGACUGUACCACCAGAAGAAGCCCCGGCUAACUCCGUGCCAGCAGCCGCGGUAA
rnacentral:rRNA from 1 species